GUGCUGGCUUUGGUAGCACAUAUACUAAAAUUGGAACAAUACAGAGAAGAUUAACAUGGCUAUUGUGCAAGGAUGACACAAAAAUUCAUGAAGCAUUCCGUAUUUUU
ensembl:snRNA U6 U6 spliceosomal RNA